rnacentral:rRNA from 1 species
AACGCGAAGAACCUUACCUGGUCUUGACAUGCAAGUAGUAGAAGGAUGAAAGUUCGACGAGGUAGCAAUACCAGCUUGCACAGGUGCUGCAUGGCUGUCGUCAGCUCGUGUCGUGAGAUGUUGGGUUAAGUCCCGCAACGAGCGCAACCCUUGUGUCCUGUUGCCACUCCGGCGCAAGCCGGAAGCACUCUGGACAGACUGCCUCGCUUAAACGAGGAGGAAGGUGGGGAUGACGUCAAGUCAGUAUGGCCCUUACGACCAGGGCUGCACACGUACUACAAUGCCCGGCACAAAGGGAAGCAAGACCGCAAGGUGGAGCAAAUCCCCAAAAACCGGGCUCAGUUCAGAUUGUCGUCUGCAACUCGACGGCAUGAAGCUGGAAUCGCUAGUAAUGGCGCAUCAGCUACGGCGCCGUGAAUACGUUCCCGGGCCUUGUACACACCGGUAUCUC